rnacentral:rRNA from 1 species
GACGAACGCUGGCGGCAUGCCUAACACAUGCAAGUCGAGCGAGUAGAUCCCUUCGGGGUGAAGCUAGCGGCGGACGGGUGAGUAACACGUGGGCAACCUGCCUCAUAGAGGGGAAUAACCUUCCGAAAGGAAGAUUAAUACCGCAUAAGAUUGUAGUACCGCAUGGUAUAGCAAUUAAAGGAGCAAUCCGCUAUGAGAUGGGCCCGCGGCGCAUUAGCUAGUUGGUGAGGUAACGGCUUACCAAGGCGACGAUGCGUAGCCGACCUGAGAGGGUGAUCGGCCACAUUGGGACUGAGACACGGCCCAGACUCCUACGGGAGGCAGCAGUGGGGAAUAUUGCACAAUGGGGGAAACCCUGAUGCAGCAAUGCCGCGUGAGUGAUGACGGCCUUCGGGUUGUAAAGCUCUGUCUUCGGGGACGAUAAUGACGGUACCCGAGGAGGAAGCCACGGCUAACUACGUGCCAGCCGCCGCGGUAA